UGUAUCCCCAUUUCCUGUUGUCUGAAGCCUGCUUACAUGGUUUAAAACCUAGUAAUUCAUCCAUCGUGGGGGAUGCUCAGUGCUGUCCUGAGGGAGUGAACAUGAACCAACUUGCUUCCAGUCUUUGAGGGUUUUUCCCCCAUGCCCUGUUUGAUUCUCAGUCAGCGUUGCCAACUUCUUGCCAUGCCAAAAGAUGGUUUCCUUACCCCCAUACUGCAAGCACCCUCCUGGCUGGGAGCAGGCAACCCUCCAAGCUGUUUCCUUCUCAUUUUGGCAAACCUUCUGACACGAGUUGGAGCAAAUGACAUGUGAUGACAUGAACCUCUGCUUUUCUCUCCAUUGUAACUAUCUCAGCCACUGGAAACCUCACAGCUCUCUGGUGGGUCCUGAUGAGCGUUGCCACCUCAGCCUGCAUUGCUCUCCAUGAACAUUUAUUGUGACACAAAGGGAAUCUGAGUUUGCAGUUCAGGUCUUAGCAUGCCCAGCAGGACUUAAAGUCUGGGUUGAAAUGUUAACUCCAAGGCCAAGAGAGUAGGAAUAGGACUCAAAUUUUCCAUAUCUCCCUUGUGUAUCUUGGCAGAGCCUUCAUUGCUUUACAUCCAUUGGGAAGAACUGAUCCAGUUAUCUCCCAAAUUGCAUUUCAGGAGCUGGCAAGCCUGACUUCACAGAUAAACUGGAGAGCACCCCAACUGAUGUAAAUGCAGGACACAGCUUUUCCUGCUUCAUUCGGCAGUAGAUGAUGAUUACUCAAUUUUGCUACAACAUUGAUUGCUACCAGAGGGAUCAGUGUGCUUUGCCAUCAUUUCCAAUAUUCAGUUGUUAUGUAGCGAUUGUUGUUGUCUAUUAUUUUAUGUUAGGGCAGCAAUUAGUACUCUCAGAGAUUGAUGCCUCUCAUCAGCACGCAAAAGACAGUUUCUCUUCCAUGUUUCUCACAGACUAAACAUAAGACAAGAGACAACAGAUAAAUCCAUCAAGCAGCCCAGAUACUGGAGAAAUGAUUAUUGAUGCAAUGAGUCACAGCAGUGCCUUAUUAUAAUUUCUGCAGGCUCUUUCUGGCUGCAGAAGACAGAAGCCCUUCGUUUGAUUUUCUUUCAUUUGGAGUAUAACAUGCUCCCUCUCCAUCAGAUCUACACUCUCAUUAUAUCUCAACAUCUGAUUCAAGAUUGGUGAAUGUAGUAAUGCAUCCCUCCCUGGAAAGGAGAUACAUUUUUAUAAAACAGCAAAAUCAGUAUUUUUCAGGACAACACUGACUACCCAAUUUCUAUUUAGUGGAAGUAUUUGGGUAGAUAUAAAGCCUACAUAACCCUGGACAGUGAUGUACUCUACUUGGUUGAAGGCAUACUCCUUUAGUAUUUUCAGAUGUCUCCAUUUUACUGUCAUCAUGAACUCUGCAGGCUUGGAUAACUCUGCUAGCACCCUCACAGUGCUGCAGAGGUCCUUAGGGAUAGGCUGCCGAAGAACCUUGAUGUAAUGAUGGCAGCAGAGGGACAGUGACAAAAUGGCAUCUGACAUGGAAGUGUGGAUGAAGAAAAGGAGUGUCAUUGAAUUCAUCCAUGAAGAAAACACUGCAUCCACUGACAUUCCUUGACUCUUGCUGAAUGUUUCUGGAGACCAAACAGUGGAUAGCAUAAAGCAGUCCCACGCCAUGCCCUGGGCACUUUGAAGCCUGGAGCUAUUGCUGACCCUUUUUAGUGCUGAGAAUCUGCUUCUCCAGCCUACAGGUAAGCUACCACUUCUGGUUUCCUCACGCCUGUGUUUUCCCUGACUUACCACGCAUAAACUGUGAGCACUCUGCUGUGUCACAGCCUCGAUGGUAGAAGACUGCAGGUCCCUGUUUGUGCACGGGUUGGGCAGAGGCAGGAGCUUCAUCCUCUGGGAUACACAGUUGACUUACUUCUCAUCACUGAACUCCAAAGAAUUCCAUCACUCUCAUCCUGCUGCAUCCUGACCACCUAAAAAAUGGCUUUCCAUGGGAAGGAGGUUCGUGUAAGGACUUCUGUAACACAGGAACCAGGUUGGUCCUCUCACUGGACCCUCACACCCGCAUUCUUGACUACCAUGGAGCUCUGAAGACUUCAAAGUGUGCCCAGCACUUUUCCUGAACUCCCUGCCAUGUCUAAUUUUUGACCCUUCCUCCGAGAAAUGAGUCCACUAGCGAAGAGAAGAUAAUUCUGCUCAUUUGGUCUCUUGAGAUUCCCACUAAGGGGAAGAAUAACAAUCCAGCAACAGCUUCACUGAUCUGCAUAGAAAAUUCAGGCUGCUUUUUUUUGCUGACCCUACUGGCUUGCCAUAUACAGCUGUAAAACUUUAUGCUAGUAAUCCAAAAAGGCAGCUGGAAUUUUUAGUCACAGGCUGUCAAAUGUCAUGUUCAUACCACAUUGGAUUAAAUGAUAAUAGGAGAAUAAUUCUUUUAGUAAAAUAUUUAAGACAUAUUGAAGUAUAAGCUUUGUGAAACAAAUUCAUAGGAAUUUUACAGCUUCAGAGCAAAAGUAGAUAACGAAUUUUAGAACAGAGGUUUUUUUUGUUUUGUUUUGUUUUGUUUUAAAAAAAGGUCAAUAUUGAUAGUUCAGCAGAUGUGUCCUAGUAGUGUUGCACAUGGCUCAGCUCCUAGUGAAAGACCACCAGGUCAUUCAUUUGGACAAUGAGCACACUAAACAUCUGCUAUGUCAUUAUGUCCCCUGCUGUUGUGCAUCACUCACCUUUCUCUCUUCUGUAUAGCUGUAGCCUGCGCAUGAAUAUGGAGUGAAAAGCAUAAUUUAGAUUACUGUGCCCAGCGUCUUUUACUGCAUUUGACCAUUCAAUAGUUGUUCAGCCACAAAGGAGCCACAAAAACUUGCCAACUCCCUGUAACAAUUUGCAGAUCGAUAGCACACUGUUACACAUCAAAGCGACAGCUGACUGGUCAAGUGCUUUACUACUGAUUUGUAUUUUCUAACACAAGAGCAUUUAUGCUCUUAGUUAUCAUAACAAGGUAGGUAGAUGACAUUCAACCAUCCUGACUGAUAUAAUUAUGAGGAAAAUCAAAACCUCUGCAAACCCAGAUGUGGCAGGUAUACACAGAUCUUCUAUAUAGACCUUGAAGGCACCUCAGUGAUUUGUGUUUCAACAGAAGCACCAAUGUAGCUUGUCCAGGCUCUAGCUGCGACUUACCUCUGAUGCUUCAGGUGGGAGCUAAACAAAUCAGAGUUCAAGUUUCUCUGAAGAAGGGAAAUAAAAAGUCUGUAUUUCUUGGCCUAAAAGUCCAAGAAAAGCUUGAGGCAUGAAAUUAUACAGUUGAGGAAUAAAUGAACACAACAGACAAGCCUAACCUCCUUCUGGAGACCAAUGACAAAAGUACUCAUCACAAGCUUAAACUCCUGAUACCAGGGCUUCAUCCUUAGCCAGGUCCCAGGUACAUAGAGCUGCAAAUCUCUAUUUUACAUCUGAUCAGCAUCUCUGUCUCCCCUGGUCAGCCGAGACUUCAGCUCACCCCUGUUCAUUGAUUUGAAAAUAUACUCCGUAGUCUAUGAGUUUGCUUUGCAUUUUGUUUAUUAUAAUCUUAAGCAGAAGGAAUUUUGCUAGUUGUAUAAAAGUCACAGAACAUCUAUCUGGUGUAUGGGUGCAAGAGAGAUAGGAGGUUCUUUCUUAAGGUUUUUGAAAAUGUUCCUUGUUCCUGAGAGGGAGCACAUACCUGGAUGGUUAAAUUACAUGGCAAAAGGCUGUCAUCUGUUUUAGUGAUCAUCUUCCAAAAAUGUAGGCAUGUUUGCAUUGGGAGAUCUCAGACACAGCUUAGCUGGUAGAAGAUAGCCCGUAUCCUCAAGCAUGCAUGUUAAACUCUGUGCAGCUGUUGAGAUUUCCCACACACAAUGAGCAAAGUUGGAUGCGGUGCUCCGAAACAUCUUUCCCUCCUUUGGAAUCAGAACACGUGAGGCACUUCUGACCUGAGGGACCCACAUCCCUAAUCAGGCUGAGAAACAGUUGCAUCCAUUGGCCAUAAGCAUCAUUUUGAU
ensembl:lncRNA